rnacentral:rRNA from 1 species
GACGAACGCUGGCGGCGUGCUUAACACAUGCAAGUCGAACGGAAAGGCCCUGCGUUUGUGGGGUGCUCGAGGGGCGAACGGGUGAGGAACACGUGAGUAACCUGCCCUUGUCUUUGGGGUAACUUCAGGAAACUGGGGCUAAUACCGGAUAGGAGCUCCUGCUGCAUGGUGGGGGUUGGAAAGUUUCGGCGGUUGGGGAUGGACUAGCGGCUUAUCAGCUUGUUGGUGGGGUAGAUGCUGACCAAGGCGUUGAAGGGUAGACGGCCUGAGAGGGGGGUCGGCCACCCUGGAAGUGAGACACGGCCCAGGCUCCUACGGGAGGCAGCAGGAGGGAAUAGUGGGGAAUGGGCGGAAGCCUUAUCCAGCAGUGCCGCGUGCGUGAGGAAGGCCUCCGGGUUGGAAAGCCCGGUUUUUGGGUAAGAAAACCUUUGCGCUUAUACCGAGCCGUUGUGACGGUACCUAAUGAAAAAGCCCCGGCUAACUUCGUG